rnacentral:rRNA from 1 species
GAUGAACGCUGGCGGCGUGCCUAAUACAUGCAAGUCGAGCGAACGGACGAGAAGCUUGCUUCUCUGAUGUUAGCGGCGGACGGGUGAGUAACACGUGGAUAACCUACCUAUAAGACUGGGAUAACUUCGGGAAACCGGCGCUAAUACCGGAUAAUAUUUUGAACCGCAUUGUUCAAAAGUGAAAGACGGUCUUGCUGUCACUUAUAGAUGGAUCCGCGCUGCAUUAGCUAGUUGGUAAGGUAACGGCUUACCAAGGCAACGAUGCAUAGCCGACCGGAGAGGGUGAUCGGCCACAUUGGAACGGAGACACGGUCCAGACUACUACGGGAGGCAGCAGUAGGGAAUCGUCCGCAAUGGGCGAAAGCCUGACGGAGCAACGCCGCGUGAGUGAUGAAGGUCUUCGGAUCGUAAAACUCUGUUACUAGGGAAGAACCUAUGUGUAAGUAACUGUGCACAUCUUGACGGUACCUAAUCAGAAAGCCACGGCUAACUACGUG